CCCCUCUCAGGACCACAACUGGAGAGUUUCCAGUACUCUACCGGUCUCAGCUUUGCGAGGGAGAGUCAAGCAGAGACAUACCCAUUCCAUUCUUAGCUUGGACAGUGGUUAGCGAGUGGAAGGCAACCUGCUACAAGU
rfam:Ornithorhynchus anatinus chromosome 2, whole genome shotgun sequence.